rnacentral:rRNA from 1 species
AUUGAACGCUGGCGGCAUGCCUUACACAUGCAAGUCGAACGGUAACAGGUCUUCGGAUGCUGACGAGUGGCGAACGGGUGAGUAAUACAUCGGAACGUGCCCGAUCGUGGGGGAUAACGGAGCGAAAGCUUUGCUAAUACCGCAUACGAUCUACGGAUGAAAGCAGGGGACCGCAAGGCCUUGCGCGAACGGAGCGGCCGAUGGCAGAUUAGGUAGUUGGUGGGAUAAAAGCUUACCAAGCCGACGAGCUGUAGCUGGUCUGAGAGGACGACCAGCUACACUGGGACUGAGGCACGGCCCAGACUCCUACGGGAGGCAGCAGUGGGGAAUUUUGGACAAUGGGCGCAAGCCUGAUCCAGCAAUGCCGCGUGCAGGAUGAAGGCCUUCGGGUUGUAAACUGCUUUUGUACGGAACGAAAAGGCUCUGGUUAAUACCUGGGGCUCAUGACGGUACCGUAAGAAUAAGCACCGGCUAACUACGUGCCAGCCGCCGCGGUAAGAC